AGCGAACGCUGGCGGCAUGCCUAACACAUGCAAGUCGCACGGGGGGGCUUCGGCCUCCCAGUGGCGGACGGGUGAGGAACGCGUAGGGACCUGUCGAGGGGUGGGGGAUAACCGCGGGAAACUGCGGCUAAUACCGCAUGACGCCGCGGCGUGACAGCCGGGGCCAAAGGCGAAAGCCGCCCGCCGAGGGGCCUGCGUCCGAUUAGCUGGUUGGCGGGGUAGCGGCACACCAAGGCGUCGAUCGGUAGAUGGUCUGAGAGGGUGAUAAGCCACACCGGGACUGAGACACGGCCCGGACUGCUACGGGAGGAAGCAGUGGGGAAUAUUGGAAAAUGGGAGCAAGCCUGAUCCAGCAAGGCCGCGUGGGUGAAGAAGGUCUUCGGAUUGGAAAGCCCUUUCGGAGGGGACGAUGGUGACGGUACCCGAAGAAGAAGCCCCGGCUAACUUCGUG
rnacentral:rRNA from 1 species